UAGGGAAUCUUCCGCAAUGGACGAAAGUCUGACGGAGCAACGCCGCGUGAGUGAUGAAGGUCUUCGGAUCGUAAAACUCUGUUAUCAGGGAAGAACAAGUAUCGGAGUAACUGCCGGUACCUUGACGGUACCUGACCAGAAAGCCACGGCUAACUACGUGCCAGCAGCCGCGGUAAUACGUAGGUGGCAAGCGUUGUCCGGAAUUAUUGGGCGUAAAGCGCGCGCAGGCGGUCCUUUAAGUCUGAUGUGAAAUCCCGUGGCUUAACCACGGGCGGUCAUUGGAAACUGGGGGACUUGAGUGCAGAAGAGAAGAGCGGAAUUCCACGUGUAGCGGUGAAAUGCGUAGAGAUGUGGAGGAACACCAGUGGCGAAGGCGGCUCUUUGGUCUGUAACUGACGCUGAGGCGCGAAAGCGUGGGGAGCGAACA
rnacentral:rRNA from 1 species